rnacentral:pre_miRNA from 13 species
ACACGUUGCUGCUCAGGUACUUAGUGACUCUCAAUUCAACAUUGUAUUGCACGCCUUUGAGGGUCGCUCUGUGCCUGUGUUGCACGUGUUGC